rnacentral:rRNA from 1 species
AAUAAGGACCGGCUAACUACGUGCCAGCAGCCGCGGUAAUACGUAGGGUCCAAGCGUUAAUCGGAAUUACUGGGCGUAAAGCGUGCGCAGGCGGUUGUGUAAGACCGAUGUGAAAUCCCCGAGCUUAACUUGGGAAUUGCAUUGGUGACUGCACGGCUAGAGUGUGUCAGAGGGGGGUAGAAUUCCACGUGUAGCAGUGAAAUGCGUAGAGAUGUGGAGGAAUACCGAUGGCGAAGGCAGCCCCCUGGGAUAACACUGACGCUCAUGCACGAAAGCGUGGGGAGCAAACAGGAUUAGAUACCCUGGUAGUCCACGCCCUAAACGAUGUCAACUAGUUGUUGGGGAUUCAUUUCCUUAGUAACGUAGCUAACGCGUGAAGUUGACCGCCUGGGGAGUACGGUCGCAAGAUUAAAACUCAAAGGAAUUGACGGGGACCCGCACAAGCGGUGGAUGAUGUGGAUUAAUUCGAUGCAACGCGAAAAACCUUACCUACCCUUGACAUGCCACUAACGAAGCAGAGAUGCAUUAGGUGCUCGAAAGAG